CCCCUAGACGUUCUGGGCUGCACGCGCGCUACAAUAAUACGCACAGCGAGUAUCACCGAGCUCGAAAGGGCAAGGUAAACAAUAGAAAGGGUACUGUAAUGGUUAUAGAUCCUUGUAAUUAUUGAUCUUCAACGAGGAAUUCCUAGUAAGUAUGUGUCAUCAUCACGCACUGAUUACGUCCCUGCCCUUUGUACACACCGCCCGUCGCUCCUACCGAUUGGGUGAGCCGAUGAAACUCUCGGAUGUAGGCUAUUCAUAGCCCGCAGAAGAGAUUUGAAUCGUAGCGCUUAGAGGAAGGAGAAGUCGUAACA
rnacentral:rRNA from 1 species